rnacentral:lncRNA from 1 species
CCCGCCCGGCCCCAACGGCCCCAACUCCCGUCUCCUCCCAGUCCCCCGGAGCCGACCAGUGGUGGCGGCAGCCCCAGGUCCCGGGUCCCUCAGACAAAAAGGCGGGUGGAGGAGGAGUAGCCGAGCCCAGAGUCCUGCUCCGGCGCCGCCGAGCACCGCCCGCCUCAGCCGACCAGCCCCGUCGGCUACUGGGCCUAGCCUAGAGGAGAGGAGGGAAAGGCCGCGGAGGCCGCGAGGAGACGGCUGGGGCGCCAGCGGCCGGCUGCCGCCUAGUUGUGCUGCCCGGACCAAGGAAGGAGAAGUGGGAGGAGCGGGGAGCUCAGCGGCUCAGGACGACGACGCUCGCCACAUCCGGGACCCUCCGGCCGUGGCGGUCGCAGCGCCGGCAGCUCGGGCCUCAGCCCCUGCCUCUGUGGUGACUCCGCCGCGCUUCGACGUCGCCCCUGUCCCCGUCCCGCCCGCCGCCCCCGCCAACCCCGCCGCCGGGGACAUGUCCAACCCCUGAAGCCGGAGGAACGGGCCAGUCAGACUGCGCCCGACAGGAGGUGAAGUGAAAUCUGCAAGAGUCCUGCUCGUUCAAGGCCUGCAUACAGGAAAGAAGCAGGGGAAAAGCGUUAGAAACAGCUUUUGUUCUACAGCAUUUUAAAAUAUAAUAGGUAUAUUGAAAAGUCUGAUUCAGUUACAAUCAGUGUAUGGAAUCACAAGAAGAUCCAUAAGAAACAAGGUGCUGGAUUUCUCCGUUGUGUUCGUCUUUUUCCAGUGCCAUCAACCACCUCAAAGACACUGGUUAUCAGAGGUUGGAUUUAUGCAAACUUGGGCCAAAGGACAGUUAGAAGACAGUAGUAAGUCUUCAGUCCAGGGACCAAAUCGGCACAGGAGGACAAGUUGUGGACUGCAGUCAUUUAUUUGAUAAUGAUUUACCAGACAACUGAAGAAGCAUCUGUAGGGAAUCCAGAAGGAGCAUUCAUGAAGAUGUUACAAGCCCGGAAGCAGCACAUGAGCACUGAGCUGACUAUUGAGUCGGAGGCGCCCUCAGACAGCAGUGGCAUCAACUUGUCAGGCUUUGGGAGUGAUCAGCUUGAAAUUCAGCUAACCGAGCAGCUACGGUCCCUCAUCCCCAACGAGGAUGUGAGAAAGUUCAUGUCUCAUGUUAUCUGGACCUUGAAAAUGGAAUGUUCAGAAACACAUGUGCAAGGGAGCUGUGCCAAGCUCAUGUCGCGAACAGGCCUCCUGAUGAAGCUUCUCAGCGAGCAGCAGGAAGCAAAGGCAUUGAAUGUAGAAUGGGAUACGGACCAACAAAAAACAAAUUAUAUUAAUGAGAACAUGGAACAGAAUGAACAGAAAGAGCAGAAGUCAAGUGAGGUGAGGAGCACACAGAAACAUGAGACCCAGAUUUCCCAUCAUUUAGCAUAUGCCAGGAAAGUGCCCACAUAGGAGAACCUGGGACUCCCAGGCCAUAGCUU